rnacentral:rRNA from 1 species
GAUGAACGCUGGCGGCGUGCUUAACACAUGCAAGUCGAGCGGGCAAUUUAUCUAGCACUGAUUACUUCAAAUGGAAAUCAUAAGUGUAAUCAUGAAUUUCUACCUUUAAUAAAGAAAAAAGAAAUUCAUGUACGCAAAUAGUGAUAACACAUUUUAGUGGAGUGAUGAGUGCUGGAUAAAUUGCUAGCGGCGGACGGGUGCGUAACACGUGGGUAACCUGCCCCUAUCACUGGGAUAACACACUGAAAAGUGUGCUAAUACCAGAUAACAUAAGCUUUUGGCAUCAUUAGCUUAUCAAAGAAUUUCGGAUAGGGAUGGGCCCGCGUCUGAUUAGCUAGUUGGUGAGGUAACGGCUCACCAAGGCAACGAUCAGUAGCCGACCUGAGAGGGUGAUCGGCCACACUGGAACUGAGACACGGUCCAGA